GAUGAACGCUGGCGGCGUGCCUAAUACAUGCAAGUCGAGCGAACAGACGAGGAGCUUGCUCCUCUGACGUUAGCGGCGGACGGGUGAGUAACACGUGGAUAACCUACCUAUAAGACUGGGAUAACUUCGGGAAACCGGAGCUAAUACCGGAUAAUAUAUUGAACCGCAUGGUUCAAUAGUGAAAGACGGUUUUGCUGUCACUUAUAGAUGGAUCCGCGCCGCAUUAGCUAGUUGGUAAGGUAACGGCUUACCAAGGCAACGAUGCGUAGCCGACCUGAGAGGGUGAUCGGCCACACGGGAACGGAGACACGGUCCAGACUCCUACGGGAGGCAGCAGUAGGGAAUCUUCCGCAAUGGGCGAAAGCCUGACGGAGCAACGCCGCGUGAGUGAUGAAGGUCUUCGGAGCGUAAAACUCUGUUAUGAGGGAAGAACAAAUGUGUAAGUAACUAUGCACGUCUUGACGGUACCUAAUCAGAAAGCCACGGCUAACUACGUG
rnacentral:rRNA from 1 species